CCCGUUACCACCCCUCCAACCCCUUCUCCAGUGUUACCUCCUCCUCCCGAAGUCCCGGCCCCCUCUACCUCGUUGCCUCCUCCUCCCUCGGCUGAUUUGCCGUCCCUAAUCUCUGCCCUCACCGCCCUGACCCAACCCCCCGUUACCACCCCUCCAACCCCUUCUCCAGUGUUACCUCCUCCUCCCGAAGUCCCGGCCCCCUCAACCUCGUUGCCUCCUCCUCCCUCGGCCGUUUUGCCAUCCCUAAUCUCUGCCCUCACCGCCCUGAC